rnacentral:rRNA from 1 species
UGGGGAAUAUUGCACAAUGGGCGCAAGCCUGAUGCAGCCAUGCCGCGUGUAUGAAGAAGGCCUUCGGGUUGUAAAGUACUUUCAGUCGGGAGGAAGGUGGUAAGGUUAAUAACCUUGGCAAUUGACGUUACCGACAGAAGAAGCACCGGCUAACUCCGUGCCAGCAGCCGCGGUAAUACGGAGGGUGCAAGCGUUAAUCGGAAUUACUGGGCGUAAAGCGCACGCAGGCGGUUGAUUGAGUCAGAUGUGAAAUCCCCGGGCUUAACCCGGGAAUUGCAUCUGAUACUGGUCAGCUAGAGUCUUGUGGAGGGGGGUAGAAUUCCAUGUGUAGCGGUGAAAUGCGUAGAGAUGUGGAGGAAUACCGGUGGCGAAGGCGGCCCCCUGGACAAAGACUGACGCUCAGGUGCGAAAGCGUGGGGAGCAAACAGG